rnacentral:rRNA from 1 species
AACGAACGCUGGCGGCAGGCUUAACACAUGCAAGUCGAACGAUGUAGCAAUACAUAGUGGCGCACGGGUGAGUAACGCGUGGGAAUAUACCUUGUAGUGGGGAAUAACUCCGGGAAACUGGAGAUAAUACCGCAUGCGCCCGAGAGGGGAAAGAUUUAUCGGUAUAAGAUUAGCACGCGUGAGAUUAGGUAGUUGGUGGGGUAAUGGCCUACCAAGCCUACGAUCUCUAGCUGGUCUGAGAGGAUGAUCAGCCACACUGGAACUGAGACACGGUCCAGACUCCUACGGGAGGCAGCAGUGGGGAAUAUUGGACAAUGGGCGAAAGCCUGAUCCAGCCAUGCCGCGUGAAUGAUGAAGGCCUUAGGGUUGUAAAGUUCUUUCGCCGAUGAAGAUAAUGACGGUAGUCGGAGAAGAAGCCCCGGCUAACUUCGUGCCAGCCGCCGCCGUAA